CCUACGGGUGGCAGCAGUGAGGAAUAUUGGUCAAUGGACGAGAGUCUGAACCAGCCAAGUAGCGUGAAGGAUGACUGCCCUAUGGGUUGUAAACUUCUUUUAUAUGGGAAUAAAACAAGGUAUGUAUACCUUCUUGUAUUUACUAUAUGAAUAAGGAUCGGCUAACUCCGUGCCAGCAGCCGCGGUAAUACGGAGGAUCAGAGCGUUAUCCGGAUUUAUUGGGUUUAAAGGGAGCGUAGGUGGUUUGUUAAGUCAGUUGUGAAAGUUUGCGGCUCAACCGGAAAAUUGCAUUAGAUACUGGCAGUCUUGAGUACAGGUGAGGUGGGCGGAAGUCGUGGUGUAGCGGUGAAAUGCUUAGAUAUCACGAAGAACCCCGAUUGCGAAGGCAGCUUACUAGACUGUAACUGACAUUGAUGCUCGAAAGUGUGGGUAUCAAACAGGAUUAGAUACCCUAGUAGUC
rnacentral:rRNA from 1 species